GCCGAGAGCCUCCGCACCCGCAGCUGACCUGGGGGGGCCGGGGAUGGGAUGAGAAGCCUGAGGCCAGAAAGCAGCAGCAACUGGUGACAUCCCAGCCCUUGUCUUUGCCCGCAAAGAAUGGAGGCCUGGAAUUCCUACCAGAAGAUACAGAAACAACCAACAUGCAUAGACAAGCUGCUUGGAGGCCAGGAUGUCCAAACAGAGAAAUAUCUUUUCCCACCAACCAGAAUGGUCCUAAUGAUGUACUACUCUUGGGUAAAUUGAGCCGAUAAUCACUGGAAUCGUUUCCUGUGUGCCCAGUGCAGAUGGGAAAACAACUGAGAAGCCAUCUGCCCUGGCUGAAAAAAUAUGGCCAUUAGACCCGUGUGCGCCCCUGGGCGGUGAUGCCGGUGCAGGUAUGGCAGCCCCAGAGGCUCCCCAAGAGGGUAUUGGUGCCGGUGGAGAUAAGCUGCUGUCCUCUCGAGUGGAAAGGAUGCAGUGCAACCAAUUUGCCAUCAGGUGGCUGGCCAGCCUCUUCAAGGGGUGACCACAUCAAGGACCCGGCAUUGGUCUCCACUGCUGGAAGGGGGGGCAUCUGCUACAGUGGGGGUGGCAUGCUGGUGCUCACACACCGAGUCUGCCCUGCUGCUGCUCCUCCUCUGUUCACAGACCCACUGUGCCAAUGCCAGAGUGGCCCCAGGGCAAGUCAGUCUGGGCCUGCUUGUCACCGUUCUCCUCCAGGCUAGAUGCACGUACGCCAUGCCCAUCCAGGAAUCGACUCCCCAGACCUCCUUGGCUCGGGUCUUCCCUACUUCCAAAGAUGUGACCAACCAUCCAGGCUCCUGCCUAUUUCCCAGAGUCCACACAUCGCUGUCCGUCAGGCUGCUUUUCCCUUUUCCUCAGGGAGCAACUCAGCACUCCAGGGCCAUCUCUCCCCACCAGUCUCCUUGAGGGACUUGCCACGGGGAUUGCCCGAUGGCAGAGGCCCAUAAUUGGUUGCAGGCCUAUCUGUGAGCCUGGCCUUCAUAUUUUCUCCUCCACCCUUUGACCUGAGGGUCGGUCCCCUCCCCCGGAGCUACAGUAGAACCAGAGGCAGUAGAACCACAGAGAUCAGGACUGCAGGAGCCCAGCCUGCCUCGUCGCUGGGCCCGUGCGGAGAUGCACUCAGCCCCGGCCUGAGCUCCCCCAUCUGUCACACCAUGGAUAGCUGCUGGACCUGGCCGCCUUAUGACGAGUGGAUCUGACGGUGACCAUGUCCAGUCACACGGUCACAUGAUGCCCAUCACCAGAUGCUCAGGCCCUCCAGGGGCCCUGGAGCAUUCCAGAAGCUGGGCUCCUGACCUAGCUCUGCUUCGGCAUUCUGAGCGUUUACAUAGCAACCUCUUACCAGGGCUGGCCAGCAGCUGCACCUGGGGCUGUGUCUACCACCAUCAGAUCUGCAGGUCAUAUGACUACAGAGCAGCUUGACCACAGUCUGAACCUUCUGGAAAGAGAGAGAGAGAGAGAGACACUUCUCCUGCUCUGGGCCCCUCCCAUCAACCUGAUGAGUGGGUUGGGGCUGCAUUUCCAAGGGUGAUGUUUGCUGCAUCCUGGGUCCCUUGGCACUGGGGCCUCUUUCUUCAUGGUGGGAGGUGGGAGGGGCAAGAGCCUGUCCUCACCCCCCAAAAGGGAGUUCCCAGCAUGCCCCAGGCCUCUAGAACCUUACAGUCUUCACCGAUACGGCAAGCCUCACGUGCCUCAGGAGGAUAAUAAGGGUGCUUGCACAACCUGAGUACCGUGACGUCAUCGGGAGAGUGGACCAGCAUGACAAUUGGCACAUAUCCAGACCAGCAGUUCCUUCAGUGGCAUGUCAGGCUUUUUUUUCUCUUGGAUCAAAUCCAAGUGAAACUAAAGGCAAUCCUUUAACCCUGGGAAGCCACCGUCAUCAUAGGGUCCAUUUCCACACCAGUGACCCAGCUCCAUGUUUCCGAGCCUCUCAGGGAGGUGUCUGGAAUUAUGCUCUUUCCCAGGUUGGUGACGAUUGCUCUGAGUGGUAGG